UACGGAGGGAGCUAGCGUUGUUCGGAAUUACUGGGCGUAAAGCGCAUGUAGGCGGCUUUGUAAGUUAGAGGUGAAAGCCCGGGGCUCAACUCCGGAACUGCCUUUAAGACUGCAUCGCUUGAAUCCAGGAGAGGUGAGUGGAAUUCCGAGUGUAGAGGUGAAAUUCGUAGAUAUUGGGAAGAAUACCAGUGGCGAAGGCGACUUACUGGAUAACAACUGACGCUGAGGCGCGAAAGCGUGGGGAGCAAACAGG
rnacentral:rRNA from 1 species